rnacentral:pre_miRNA from 1 species
UCAUUGAGCAAUUCGUCGUCCGUAUUUCUUCGUUGUUGUUGUUGCAGGAUUGCAGAAGCUGCUGAUAAGGAUGACCCGGCCAAAGUUGAAGG